rnacentral:sRNA from 1 species
CAGGGCACAGCUUCCGCUCUGUGCUCUGUGUCAUGCUCCUGCUGUGCUACCACACCUUCCUCACCUUCGUGCUCGGUACUGGGAACGUCAACAUCGAGGAGGCCGAGAAGCUCUUGAAGCCCUACCUGAACCGGUACCCUAAGGGUGCCAUCUUCCUGUUCUUUGCAGGGCGGAUUGAAGUCAUUAAAGGCAACAUUGAUGCAGCCAUCCGGCGUUUCGAGGAGUGCUGUGAGGCCCAGCAGCACUGGAAGCAGUUCCACCACAUGUGCUACUGGGAGCUGAUGUGGUGCUUCACCUACAAGGGCCAGUGGAAGAUGUCCUACUUCUACGCCGACCUGCUCAGCAAGGAGAACUGCUGGUCCAAGGACUCAGGCUUGGAAGGAACUAAAGACCACAAGAGAAACUUCUGAACC